UACGUAGGGACCGAGCGUUGUCCGGAAUCAUUGGGCGUAAAGAGCGUGUAGGCGGCUCGCUAAGUCUUGCGUGAAAUCUCGGGGCUCAACCCCGAGCGGUCGUGAGAAACUGGCGGGCUAGAGUGCGGGAGAGGAGAGUGGAAUUCCUGGUGUAGCGGUGAAAUGCGCAGAUAUCAGGAAGAACACCUAUGGCGAAGGCAGCUCUCUGGGACGGUACUGACGCUGAGGCGCGAAAGCGUGGGGAGCGAACAGG
rnacentral:rRNA from 1 species